UACCUGGUUGAUCCUGCCAGUAGUCAUAUGCUUGUCUCAAAGAUUAAGCCAUGCAUGUCUAAGUACAUACUGUUUAUAAAGUGAAACCGCGAAUGGCUCAUUAAAUCAGUUACGGUUCCUCGGAUAUUCUUUUUUACAUGGAUAACUGUGGUAAUUCUAGAGCUCAUACAUGAACAAGUGUUCCAACCUCAGCUUGCUGACGGAAGGAUCGCAUUUAUUAGUACAAGACCAAUGAUUCUUAUUCACCUAGAACCCUGGGCAGUGAUUUCGGUCGCUGUCUAAGGACUAGCAGUGGGGAUCUUAGCAACUUCGGUUGCAUUUCUUGUGAUGACUCUGAAUAACUGAGCAAAUCGUAUGGCCUCUGAGCCGACGAUGUAUCCCUCAAGCAACUGCCUUAUCAACUGUCGAUGGUAGGUUAUGCGCCUACCAUGGUUGUAACGGGUAACGGGGAAUUAAGGUUCGAUUCCGAUUUCAAAAAUUAUUUUAUUUUGUAAAUUAAAGAUUGCUUGAGAGUCCCUAGGGAUUCACUUGUAUCACUCUGUGGUAUGACAAAUGAACUAGGGACGUGGUCUCAGUUACAAGAGUUGGGAAGUGUGGUGGACUUCCCAUAGAAAUAACCCUUUCGAUCCGGUUGGUAUCGAAGGGUGUACAACGUUCAUGAUAAUGAGUAAAAGGAUCUAUUGGGAUUACUUACAGUGUGUGGCUUAAUGAGAUCACAUUUGACAAAAGUGGGAUUGACUAAUACCCUAUUUGAGACAUGGUGCUCAGAUAGGGUUUACAUGAUCUAGAACGAAGGUUAUUGGUUAUUUGUUGUUGCUAGAAGACCUUAGCAAAACAACGUAAAAAGGGCAAAACAACCAAUUUAUUGGUGAACAAAAGAGCGAAAGAAAUUCAGUUGAAUAAUCAGCUGCUUGAUGCCAAGUGCCACAUAAGCUCUGCAUUUCCACCGCUUAAGCGAGAAAUGUACUCUUCGUGGCUCUGAAGUCAUGCAAAACACUCACUACCAAUCUUAGUACUAGACGGUUACAUGAAUGAAUAAUCGGGAUUGCGCCCCGAGGAUGCAUUCAUGGCCAGAAGGUAUGAUUCCAAAGCAGGCGCAAUCUGUGGAGGGGGACGAUGAAGUAGUGAAUGGCUGUCGAAAAACUGACCGGGACCCUGGCCCCCUGCCUACGAGCUCGCUCGUUGUGUAUGCGCCCAACGUAAUAAGGUGAACGGUAUGAAUUUCCUGGGACUGUAUUUAUGCAGAUCCCAGAGGUAAGAUACGUAGUAUCAGAUUGUUCACAGUAGCAAAUACUCGAUCAAUCUAAGUAUUCACUACUUAGAGUGGUCAUCAUGAGCUGGGUAAAAUCAGCAAGUGAGACUAUUGGAGUUUCUAACUCUGAGAAAUCCUAUUAAUGUUGGUGGUGACAUCAAACAUAAUGGGUAACGAUCUUGAGAUUUAGUAUCAAUUUGUUGUAUUGAGAGACAGCAACUUGUGAAUUGAUGGAAACAUCAAACACAGAUGGUGGUGGUGCAGGCCCUACAUGGGAGACACUGAGUCAUUGAAUAAUGCAAGCAAUUGAGAGACUUGACAAUAUUCGUAGAUGACGAAAGUGCGAACGUCUUUUCUUCGGGAUGAGUCGUUGGUGGUGGUGCAGGCCGUCACAGUGAGGUCCUUAGAUCAUUUAAAGAUGAAGGAAACCGCGAAUGUACAGAUGUAUAGUCAGCCAACUCAAAAGAUGUGGGAAACCGCGAAUGUACAAGAACAAGAGCUGAGAACAAGCUGAACACUUGGGAAAAUGUUCAAAACGAUCUAAUAGGGGUCCCCUCACUGUGAUGGUGAGGGGCAGGGUUCGAUUCCGGAGAGGGAGCCUGAGAAACGGCUACCACAUCUAAGGAAGGCAGCAGGCGCGCAAAUUACACAAUCCCAGUACGGGGAUGUAGUGACGAAAAAUAACAAUACGGGACUCUAUUGAGGCCCCGUAAUUGGAAUGAGUACAAUUUAAAUCCUUUAACGAGGAUCUAUUGGAGGGCAAGUCUGGUGCCAGCAGCCGCGGUAAUUCCAGCUCCAAUAGCGUAUAUUAAAGUUGCUGCGGUUAAAAAGCUCGUAGUUGGAUUUCAGUCGAACCUAUGGGGUCCACUGAUUAAAGGGUUAGAUGGUGAUGUUAGGUUUCUUGCUUGUGUCUACGGAUGCUUGCUUGAACCUUCAUUCCUCUUUCCUGGUGGUUACAUUCAUAGUGUUUAGACAGAAAAUUGCUCGAUAUUUGCUAUCAAUGCUCUUUACCGAGUGUUGAUUCAAGCGAUCGAGACUUUUACCUUGAAAAAAUCAGAGUGCUCAAAGCAGGCGUCCAAAACCUCGAAAGAGGUGCCUAAAAACGGUAUGGUCAACCAUCUAUAUGAUGCGUACCACUACCUUAACUUGAAUGAUCUUGCAUGGAAUAAUGGAAUAGGACCUUGGUUCUAUUUUGUUGGUCUUAAGAAUCCAAGGUAAUGAUUAAGAGGGACAGACGGGGGCAUUUGU
rnacentral:rRNA from 1 species